ACGGGGUGCAGCAGGCGCGAAAACUUUACAAUGCGGGAAACCGUGAUAAGGGAACUCCGAGUGCCCGUAAAAUCGGGCUGUCCAUCUGUUUAAAUAACAGGUGAAGAAAGGGCCGGGCAAGACCGGUGCCAGCCGCCGCGGUAAUACCGGCGGCUCGAGUGGUGGCCACUAUUACUGGGCUUAAAGCGUUCGUAGCUGGUUUGUUAAGUCUCUGGGGAAAUCUGCCGGCUCAACCGGCAGGCGUUCCAGGGAUACUGGCAGACUAGGGACCGGGAGAGGUGAGGGGUACUCCAGGGGUAGGAGUGAAAUCCUGUAAUCCUUGGGGGACCACCUGUGGCGAAGGCGCCUCACCAGAACGGCUCCGACAGUGAGGGACGAAAGCUGGGGGAGCAAACCGGAUUAGAUACCCGGGUAGUCCCAGCCGUAAACGAUGCGCGUUAGGUGUAUCGGUGACCACGAGUCACCGAGGUGCCGAAGAGAAAUCGUGAAACGUGCCGCCUGGGAAGUACGGUCGCAAGGCUGAAACUUAAAGGAAUUGGCGGGGGAGCAC
rnacentral:rRNA from 1 species